CCCCUAAUUGAGAGCCGCCGCAUCAGCGGAACGCCGCAAAAUGGAACGCCGGUAAGCGGGGCCCUAAUGUAUAUAUAUAUAUAUAUAUACAUACACACACACACACACACACACACACACAUAUAUAUAUAACGCCUCAUUUGUUUUCUAACCAACUUUGCUGGGCCCUUUUUAUUAAGAAGUCAACUUUCAGAGAGGCUCUUUAACUACAGCUCUCCUUUUAAGGGUUACUUCUUCAGAAUACCGCAGCUUGACACGCGCCUCCUCCACCACCAUAAAAACGCACAGCAUGUUACAAAACCACGGAGUCCAACAAAGCUAAGAAGAAAAAACAAACAAGCUGAAAACCAACGGAAGUGCGUGGGAAAGAAGAGGGGUAUGGGCCCGGAUGAAACUGAACUGAAACCAAAACAUUAUUUAAAAAAAUAAAAGACACAGUUCCUCUUUGAACAGAGUGGAAAUUUGUGGAGAGCCGAGAGAGAAGACUCUGGUUUGGACUUUCUUUGCCUCACUUUCCCUUGGUUGCACGCCCAAGAGACUUCUAUGAAUUUCGACUGAGAAAACUGAAGUAUGCAAGCUGCCUGCACCCUAAUGUAAGUCCUCUUUCCUCAUCUCUGAAUGCCGGCCCAGGCCGCACGCGCACAUACACGAACAAGCGCGCCAUACAACGGAGAAGGGAGAGGGGGUGCAAUGUUUGUUUUUUCCAGAGGCAGCAGUUGCAAUAACCGCAUGUGGAGCUAAUCCGUGCUUCGUUUCGUUUUCCGCUCCUUUCUGGAAGGACACCCGUUCACAACUUCCCAUCCCGUCAGGCUUACUACUUUACUUAAGUCUUCCAUAAAUGUUUCGACUUACUACUUCAACAAGUCUCUUGCCCAGCAUAUGAAGCGAGGAGAAGGGAAGGCCUCGCUCCGAGGCUCGUGGCAGGCUCACCUGUAAGCACACAGUAAACACUUCAAGACGGGAAGAAGAGCGAAAGUGCUGUAGGCGAUUAGUAUACGAACGACGACGCUUCAAGGGGGCGGGGCAAGACCAGUCUGGGACAAACGGUCGUCGAGAAACAUGUUGGGACUUGUUCUCUCGCCCACAGCUAGAAAGGCCACCGGCCCGCCCACUGCUCCAAGGCUGUUCUUUGAUGACUUUACGCCUGCCUGCCUGCCGGCUAAGAAAAUCCCAAAGACGCUCACCAACCACUGACAUGAAUGGAGACAGAAGGCGUAGCCCGCGGGACUCAGUUGAAAAGUCACACUUGCAGCGGUCUAGGUAGCGAGGCUACAACCUGUGCAGUUGGCUGGGGGAGACCCUGUGCAACUGGCUGGGGGAGUGAGCCCCACUGAAUCCAGCGUGACUUGAUUACGAGAGCAGCUUGCAGAGAAGUACAGGAACAAACCAAAUGACACCUUGUGCCUUUAAGAGCUGUGUGACUGGCACAAAUUAAACAGAUAAUUCCGUGAUGUCAGGCUUCUAGUCCAACUUUAUUUAAACUGCAAUAUUCUUCAUGUCUACGUAGAACUAAAUCCUAUUGAGUUCAACACGGUUUACUCUCAGUCCACACAGUGACUCCACUGCCUCAUCCAGUUUCCUAAUCAGGAUUGAAGGAGAAAUUUUCAAUAGCUGGAGGUUCUUUAUGUCAAUCCUGUGAUGGAAGGCACUUGGAGCACAGGGAAUUUUCAUGGAAGGGGGUGGCCCAGCAGCUCCAGCAAAGGAAGAGCUGCUGAAAGAAGGCUAAGCUCUAAACAGACUUUGCUCAUUGAUUUCCUGGGUGACCUUGCUCAAGCUUCUUUACCUCCUCCUGCCUCAGUCAGCUCAGCUGGAAAAUUGGGUAAAGAGUGGGGAGUAUUGGGGGAGAAGAAAAAAACCAUCUUGAGUUUGAAACUGGAAUUUCCCUGUUAACUCCCCCUCCUCCCUCCAAAGUGAGUGCAGUCAUUUUACACAGAUGUAAUUGCUUGUGCACCGUACACCAAUCAUUUUCUUGAGUUUCAUGACACAAGGGCUGACAUUCCAUGACAUGUUAAGGACCCAUGCAGUCCUGUGCAUUCUCUGCAAUAAUUGCCUUUUUUCUCUGGUGAAGUUUUAUAUCACAUAGAAUAGGUUAAUGGGGGCUAAGUCCAUUGUCAUAUUCUCCCAUCAAAAGAGCAGGGAUUAAUAUUCAAUCUGAAUAACCACAACAAUAAUAAUAAUUCUAUUUUUACUCACUAAACACUUGACCUAGGACUGAAGUUCCUCAAGUGUGUUCCAUACAUUAAAAUAAGUUCCACUAAAACAUUGAAUUCCAACCAGGGGUGUGAUAAUCAGGCAUGCAUGCAUUGCAACUUGUCCAUAGGUAGGAUGAAAUCUCAUGUUUUGCUCUAUAAGUAUUUAUUUAAGGUUUGUUUAAGCAGGAAAACAUCUCAAGAAGAAUGCUAGGAGUUAAUACCCUUCCAGGCUGACAGACAGGAUAUCCCGGGAAGUGGUAUUCCAAAUGCCUCUCAUAUAGCAUGAGUAUCCAGCAUUUCUAAUUUAAAGUAAAACAAAGAUGUUCUUGCUUCCUCGUUGCAUGAUAAAGAUCUCCAAACACUCACUUCUUCCAUUGCAGCAAGGAUGUGACACAGCAAUCAAAAUGCCAACUUCUUUCUUGUGAUGGGUGGGAUCUGUUACUGCAGAUCUCUUUAAUAUAGAUUUAGUUACACUGUGCAAAAUUGCAGCUUCUGAUGAAGGUAAACAGUUCAGGUGACCUAUUGGCCACCUGCAUGGACUUACUGCCUGAUAAAAGAAUGCAGUUGCUGUUAGGAUGAUAAUUGUGCACAUUGACCAUUAUUCUGUUUACUAUGGUUGUGGGAAACCUGAAGUCUGGGGGCCAAAUGCAGCCCUCCAGAUUUCUCUGUCUAGCCCUUGGGAUUCUCCCCAGGCACACACCUCUCUCCCCAUGCCAGCCCAGCUUUGCACAUUCCUGGAGUGUUUUUGCAUGGCUGGAAUGUGUCUUUGACCUCAGGUAAUACCCCUUGCUUGCCUGGAUGGAGGGUAGAGAGGUGUGUGUGUUUGUGUACAAACUACCUUUCAGUACAAAAUUUACAUUUAUUGCUCCUCCCACGUUUGAUUCUGGCCUCAUCUACCACUGGCAUGUGGGUCCCAGAAGGCUGCCCAAAAAGGAAUUCAACCCUCAGGCUAAAAAAUCAUUCUUCACCUCUGGUUUACUGUACCCAUGACAGUCAAACUGAGGAGCUGUGUGUCCUGGGCUUUGCUGUACAGUGAAGAGUCUGCUGGCCUCUUUGGUAACCACCACAUAAAUGCACCUUCUUGGAGGCCCAAUGACCAUCAUCUCCCCUGCCUGACUGCUUACCAGAUCCAGGAGGUUCUCCUCAACUUUGGCUAAUUUGUGCACUGUAUAGGCCAAUAUAGGGGAUUUCUAGCAUCUGUUACUAAUUGUAUGUUUGCUGUUUUAUGCACAAUGGAAUAAUUAAUGCCCACUGAGCUAUGGGCUCUUUUGCAAUGACUUCAUAUGGAUUAACAGGACAGUGGAGCUGGAACACUAUCAUAUGAAUGGCACCUUGGUGCACGUAGCACACACAGGUUGUCCCUUCAUUUUGAUUCCUUUAUAUGAAAGAAGGGAAGGUUGGUGAUGCUUAUUGGGAUUAGGGAGUUUAGUGAUACAUUAAAAGGGAAGCAAGCCAUUAUUGCAAUAUGGCUUUCAGAGGUCACUUUCUUUUUUCCUUUGAAAAGCUCUUAACACUACUUUAGCUAACCUUGGCUACUAUUUCACUGGAUUUUUGUUAUUCUAAUGUUCUAUUGUGUAAACUGCUCUGGGAGUAUUAUUUUUAAUCA